UACGAAGGGGGCUAGCGUUGCUCGGAAUCACUGGGCGUAAAGGGUGCGUAGGCGGGUCUUUAAGUCAGGGGGGAAAUCCUGGAGCUCAACUCCAGAACUGCCUUUGAUACUGAGGAUCUUGAGUUCGGGAGAGGUGAGUGGAACUGCGAGUGUAGAGGUGAAAUUCGUAGAUAUUCGCAAGAACACCAGUGGCGAAGGCGGCUCACUGGCCCGAUACUGACGCUGAGGAGCGAAAGCGUGGGGAGCGAACAGG
rnacentral:rRNA from 1 species